AUCAGAGUGGGUAGAAGUUUAUCAAUUUUAUUGAUCUCCUUUGUUAGUUUUGUAGCUUUAAUUAUUUGUUUUGUUUUUUGGUUGUUCCUUUAGGGUUUAUAGCAUGUAUCUUUAACUUAUGACAAUCUAUCUUUAAAUGAUAUUAUGUCAUUUUACUUACAAUGUGAGACCCUUAUAAUACUACCAUUUUCAUACAUUUUACCUUUACAUACAUUAUAAACCGCUGAAUAAGUCAUUAUUAUUCUUGUUUGAACAACCUAUUGUAUUUUAAAGAGAUUUAAAUAACAACAAGAAAAAAUCAUGUAUGUACUCAUGUAGUUAUCAUUUCCAGUGGCUUUUAUUCAUUUUUGUAAAUUCACCUUUUUGUUUGGUAUCAUUUUUCUUUAGCCUAAAGUUUCCUCUAGUACUUUUUGUGUUAAGGGUCUUUUGAUGAUGAAUUCUUUCAAUGUUUGUAUUUAUUGAAGUUUAUUUUGCCUUUGAUUUUGAAAGGUGUUUUCUCUAGGUAUAGAAUUUUAGGUUAGCAUUUUUUCUUUCAGUGCUUUUAAUAUGUUACUCCUCUGUCUUCUUGCUUGUAUUGCUUCUGACAAGAAAUCUGUUUUCAUCCUUAUCUUUGAUCUUCUGUAUAUAACAUGUCUGUUUUCUCUGGCUGCUUUUAAUAUUUUCUAUCACUGGUUUUGAACAAUUUGAUUGUGAUGUGUUUCAGUAUAAUAUUUUAAAAUGUUUUUCGUGUUUGGGGUUCAUUGAGCUUUUAGAUAUGUUAAGUUUAUAAUUUUUAUAAAAUUUGAAAAGCAUUUGUCCAUUAUUUCUUCAGUUAUUUUUCCAUCCAUUCCACCUCCUCUCAUAUUUAUGUCUCAAUGGGGGACUCCAAUUACAUGUAUAUUAGGCCAUUUGAAAGUGCUCCACAGUUCACUGAUACUCUGUUCAUUUUUUAAAAAAUUUUUGUUUCUUUUUAGAGAGUGUCUAUUCUUUUAUCUUCAUGUUCACUAAUUUUUUUCUUCUUUAGUUUCUAAUCUGCUGUUAAUCCCACUCGUUCUACUUUUCAUCUCAUCUAUUUUAGUUUUUAUUUCUAGAAGCUAGAUUUGGGUCUUUAAAAAAUAUCUUCCAUACUUUUACUUAGCUUUUUGAACAUAUGCAAUGCAUUAUAAUAACUUUUAAUGCCAUUGCUAAUUCUAACUCUGUAUCCAUUCUGGGUUGGUUUCGAUUGACUGAUUUUUCUCUUUAUUAUGGUUUAUAUUUCCUUGCUUCUUUUCAUGCCUGGUAAUUUUUAGCUGGGUGCCAGACAUGGUGAAUAUUAUCUUAUGUCAUUACUGGGUAUUUUUGAAUGCCUAUAAAAUUCUUGAUCUUUGUUGUGGGAUCCAGUUAAGUUACUUGGGAGUAGAUUUGGGGUCUUCUUUUUAAACUUUGUCAGGCAGAGCUAGAGUAGUGCUUGGCCUAAGGCUAGUUAUUCCUCACUACUGAGGCAAGAAUUAUAUGUGUUCUCUACCCAGUGUUCUGUGCAUCAUGGUGUUUUUCAGUCUGAUUGGUGAGAAUAGACACUAUUCCAGGCUCCGAAUGGCACUAGGCACUGUUUCCUCUAUUCCUUCUGGAUGGCUCUUUCCUUGGCCUCAGGUGGUUUCCUCACAUGCUUGCACUGCUCUGUGCUUAGCCAGAUACACAAAGGAGACCCUCUGUGGGUCCCUAGAGUUCUCUCUGUGCCGAAGUUCUCUUCCCUGAGAACUCUACUAUCUUAGUCUCCCUUGACUCAGGUCCAUCUCUUCAACUCAUAUUGUCCACUGGGCUCAGUUGGAGUCCUCUCUCUCUGGCUCUGAAAAGACAGUGAACUGGGACAAUCACGCAGCUCACAUCAUUUGAUUCCCAUCUCUUAGGAAUCACUGUUCUUUGUUGUUCGAUGUCCAGUGUCUUGAAAGUGAUUGUUUAAUAUAUUUUGCCUGUUUUGUUUUUUGUUGUUUUGGUUGUUUCUGGUGUACUUAGAACUGGAUAGUUCUCUAAUAUAAAGGAAGAUUUAUUAGCACUUUAUUAUAGCACCAAUUUAGGAUCUGCUGAUUCAGCAUCUGGCAUAGGCAAAAGAAGACUCUGAAACCUCCCCAUAGCUGUUUGCUGGGAAGCCCUGGACCCGUCGCUUAUUCCUCAUGGAAUCCCUCCUCCUCUCAGCUCCAUCUCUCCGUCUGCCACUGUGUGGGGAAAUGACCCUCACCUCAGAACAAGCAUGGCAUCCAGUGAAUAUCUGAUGGGGAAAAGCUUUAUUAGCUGCAAACCUGAUAAAACAUGUGGCAUUCUUAUUUUUAAUAUCUCAUUUGUUUUAACGCAAAGUGAUGUAUUCAUAUUAAGAAUUCAAAUAAUAUAGGAAUUUUGUAAAUUAAAAGUGAAAAAAAUAUCCCCACCCUCAGAAAUUACUGGGCACGUAAUGUGUAACCUUCCAGCUUUUCUCAUGUGUAAACAGAUGUACACUGUCACACACACGGCCUUAUUUCUUUAAAAAAUAGGAUUACACUCUACAGUCUCUUCUCCAGCCUGUCUUUUCUCCCAUUUUCUCCAUGUUUUAGACAUUGUCCCGUGCCACUGCUGCAUAGUACUCCGUUGUAUGAAUGCACCAUAAGAUUUAAAAUCAGGAGUUCCCGUCGUGGCGCAGUGGUUAACGAAUCCGACUAGGAACCAUGAGGUUGCGGGUUCGGUCCCUGCCCUUGCUCAGUGGGUUAACGAUCUGGCGUUGCCGUGAGCUGUGGUGUAGGUUGCAGACGCGGCUCGGAUCCCGCGUUGCUGUGGCUCUGGUGUAGGCCGGUGGCUACAGCUCC
ensembl:lncRNA